AACGAACGCUGGCGGCAGGCUUAACACAUGCAAGUCGAACGAGAUCUUCGGAUCUAGUGGCAGACGGGUGAGGAACACGUGGGAACAUCCCUUUCAGUUCGGAAUAACGUUGGGAAACUAACGCUAAUACCGGAUACGUCCUUCGGGAGAAAGAUUUAUCGCUGAAAGAUUGGCCCGCGUCUGAUUAGCUAGUUGGUGAGGUAACGGCUAACCAAGGCUACGAUCAGUAGCUGAUCUGAGAGGAUGAUCAGCCACAUUGGGACUGAGACACGGCCCAGACUCCUACGGGAGGCAGCAGUGGGGAAUAUUGGACAAUGGGCGCAAGCCUGAUCCAGCCAUGCCGCGUGAGUGAUGACGGCCUUCGGGUUGUAAAGCUCUUUUGUCCGGGAAGAUAAUGACUGUACCGGAAGAAUAAGCCCCGGCAAACUUCGUGCCAGCCGCCGCUGUAAUAC
rnacentral:rRNA from 1 species